rnacentral:rRNA from 1 species
UCCAGACUCCUACGGGAGGCAGCAGUCGGGAAUAUUGCACAAUGGAGGAAACUCUGAUGCAGUGACGCCGCGUGCAGGAAGAAGGUUUUCGGAUUGUAAACUGCUUUAGACAGGGAAGAAACAAGACAGUACCUGUAGAAUAAGCUCCGGCUAACUACGUGCCAGCAGCCGCGGUAAUACGUAGGGAGCAAGCGUUAUCCGGAUUUAUUGGGUGUAAAGGGUGCGUAGACGGGAAAACAAGUUAGUUGUGAAAUCCCUCGGCUUAACUGAGGAACUGCAACUAAAACUAUUUUUCUUGAGUGUUGGAGAGGAAAGUGGAAUUCCUAGUGUAGCGGUGAAAUGCGUAGAUAUUAGGAGGAACACCAGUGGCGAAGGCGACUUUCUGGACAAUAACUGACGUUGAGGCACGAAAGUGUGGGGAGCAAACAGGAUUAGAUACCCCUGUACA